AGAGUUUGAUCCUUGCUCAGGAUGAACGCUAGCUACAGGCUUAACACAUGCAAGUCGAGGGGCAGCAUGUUGGUUGCUUGCAACCAAUGAUGGCGACCGGCGCACGGGUGAGUAACGCGUAUCCAACCUACCCUUGUCCAUCGGAUAACCCGUCGAAAGGCGGCCUAACACGAUAUGCGGUUCUCAGCAGGCAUCUAACGAGAACGAAAUGUGAAGGAGAAGGAUGGGGAUGCGUCUGAUUAGCUUGUGGCGGGUAACGGCCACAAGGCGACGAUCAGUAGGGGUUCUGAGAGGAAGGUCCCCCANAUUGGAACUGAGACACGGUCCAAACUCCUACGGGAGGCA
rnacentral:rRNA from 1 species